UUUGGUGGCGAUAGCGAAGAGGUCACACCCGUUCCCAUGCCGAACACGGAAGUUAAGCUCUUCAGCGCCGAUGGUAGUUGGGGGCUUCCCCCUGUGAGAGUAGGACGUCGCCAAGC
rnacentral:rRNA from 1 species